GUUACCCCCACUUCGGGCCACGUGUGCCCCGCGCCCCUCCUCUGGGAAUUUGAGAACCACUUCGACCGCACACCCCAUCUGCCCUAUCCCAGGCUUCUAGAGGCACCGCCCACUCGCUUUCUCCAGGACAGGACUGGAGCCAAGAACUCAGCAUCAACCCCACCCCACAUCCCAGAAAAAGCGGAGGGUUAUCUGCUGUUCUGAAACUCGCCCUAUAGACUAAGCUAGGAAUUAUGUGAUUCGCCUAAAUGCUGGAGUUAAAGGCGUGCUUCACCACACCUGGGUCUAACCACCUUUUUAAAAAAAAAUUAUUUAUUUAUUUAUUUUUUAUUUUUUGUGAAAACGUCAGACACGUGGCAAGGUUCGUGUUGGGGAACAUACUGUUUGCUGUUUCACAUCUACUCAUUAAAACUGUAUUUUAAAACCUU